rnacentral:lncRNA from 1 species
UAUUACUUACCAUUUUUUUUCUAGUUUAUGAUGGUUAUGCUUUCUAAUUUAGGAGUCGUUUUAAAAUUUUAGUCGAGCUACCGACAUUAAACACUGCUACAUUUAUGAUGGUUAUUAAUUCCCGUUUUUUCUUUUAUUAUAUUUUCCGAUUUUUCUUUCAUUUUAUGUUAUGAUACUUUUCCAUUAUGUUUUUAUGCAUUUUUGUUACUUUUUCAAAAGAAAAUUCUGCACCACUAACAACGAUGCAGACAAAAAAAAAAGCCCAGAAG